rnacentral:lncRNA from 1 species
GGCCUCCUUCGCCCCGCCCCGUCCGCGCAGCUCGUCCGGCCCGCCCGCAGGCCAGCUUCUCUCGGGAGCCUCCACCCAGGCGCAUGGCUCCAUGAAGCAAGAGGAGGAGGCAGAGCGCGAGAGAUCCCGUCCGCCCCAGCCGCGUCUGGGCCAGGAGAAAAGCAAAACCAUAUUCCUGCUGCUGUCAGUUUUGAUGCACUGAGAAAACUUCAGAGACCUAAGCUUUUUCCAGAGAAGAGAAGCUUUACUGGUGUUCCAGCCCUAAGGCUCAUAUGACAUUAACAGACAAGACACUUUUCAGAAAGACAGAUGGAGUCUCUCUGUCACCCAGACUGGAAUGCAGUGGCAUGAUCUUGGUUCACUGAAACCUCUGCCUUUCUGGUUCAAGCAAUUCUCAUGUUUCAGCCUCCCAGGCAACGUGUUGGACCUUCCGGAGCUUCUCAGAAGACAGAGGGUUUUCUUUUGAGUUACAAGCUAUUGAGGCACUCCAGAGUGACGGCAUGUGAUCCCCCUGACACAAGAAACAGGCCCAGAUAACACACCGUUCAGACCGACAGCAGUUCUGGUUAUGCUGCAGUACAUCAGAAAAGUGCUCUUAUCCAUCCACAGUUCUUAUCACAGUUACUUAUGCAUAUAUUCAUUUUUUAUAUAAAAGAAUCUUGAAUCGGUCACUUAAAUAUUGAAUCUCAAUAAUAAAAAAUACUAAAAGUAUA